rfam:Punica granatum cultivar Dabenzi scaffold158, whole genome shotgun sequence.
CAAAGAAAGCGAUAUUGGUGAGGUUCAAUCCGAAGACGAAUUUACGUCGAGCCGUAAAAUACGAUCUCAGAUUGAGCCGCGCCAAUAUCACUUUUUCCAUA